GCUGGCUGGGUGCAGAUCGUCGAAGCACCUUCCGCGGUCUUUGCCGCGCUGAUCUGCAGCAGAACUCUUCUGCCAGUCUGUGCUCUCAACCCCAAGCGUCCUUCUCCGUUGGCGACACACGCACUGAAUCCCGAGUCUUCCUACAGGCCAACACCUCGGUGCAGAGGAUGGAAGCAGGGAGAAGGGAAUUUCUAGAUUUGGACAAAAGUUAUUCUGCUGGUGCCACAUCCCCAGCUGGCAUCUAUCCUGUCCGAAGCUUACCUUGAAUAUGUUGCCAAGCCUUGUUGUGAUUAACAGGGAGACAAUGGCCAUCUACAAGCCAAGGAGAGAAGUCUCAGAAGAAAUAAACUCUGUUGACACCUUGAUCUUGGACUUGUAGCCUCAAGAAUUAUGAGAAAAUAAAUUUCUGUUGCUUCAGCCACCCAGCCUGUAGUACUUUGUUAUGGCAGCCUUAGCAACUAACACAUACGAAUAUGCUACAAUUUAUAUAUCCUUUCCAAUGUUGAUGGACACUUGAGCUAAUUUCAGUUUGGGGCUACUUUGAAUACAGCUGCUCUGAACAUUCUUGAAGAUGUCUUCUUUGAACAUAUAUAGUCAUUCUUUUUGGCAUGUAUCUAGGAGUGGAAUUGCUGAUUUACAGGGUUUAAUAUAUGUUUAGGUUUAGUACAUGUUGCCAGUUUUCCAAAGUGAUUGUACCAAUCUCUACACUGGUGGUAAAGUCUCGUAUCUGUUUUUUUAAAUACUAUAAUAAAAGAUGCUGAUUAAAUUCAUUAAAUUCCCUAAUGGCUAUUUACAUUUUAUGGCUGUCAGUCAAUGUGACAGCAAAGAGAAAGCAGUGACUUAGGACUGGAGACGCUUCUACACAUUGAUAUGGUGUGCUGUGUCUUUCAACUAAAAUCUAGACCAGUGACUCUUCUGUGUGUUCACCACGUGGUUUGUUUUGGACUUAUGUCCAAGUGUAGCAAACAUUCCAAGAAGCUUAAAACUAGAGUAAUUUUUCUUGUCUGCAUAUCAUUUCCUUUCUUCCAAGAACAUGUAAGAUGCGAGAAAUUAUUUUGAUCAUGUGGAUGUUGUACUUAAUAAAACAGAUUUGGGCUUUUUCCUGUAACCAAAAGUGAUAAUAAGAAGGAUUCUAAUUAAACUCCAGAGCUUCUGCACAGCAAAAGAAACAACCAUAAGAGUGAACUGGCAACGAACAGAAUGGGAAAAAAAUUUUGCAAUCUAUCCAUCUGAAAAAGGGCUAAUAUCCAGAAUCUACAAAGAACUAAAGCAGAUUUACAAGAAAAAAAAACAAACCCAUUCAAAAGUGGGCAAAGGAUAUGAAAAGACACUUUUCAAAAGAAGAUAUAUAUGAGGCCAAAAAACAUAUGAAAAAAUGCUCAUCAUCACUGGUCAUUAGAGAAAUGCAAAUCAA